UACGUAGGGGGCAAGCGUUGUCCGGCAUUAUUGGGCGUAAAGCGCGCGCAGGCGGUCAUUUAAGUUUGGUGUUUAAGCCCGGGGCUCAACCCCGGAUCGCACUGAAAACUGGGUGACUUGAGUGCGGGAGAGGAAAGUGGAAUUCCACGUGUAGCGGUGAAAUGCGUAGAGAUGUGGAGGAACACCAGCGGCGAAGGCGACUUUCUGGACCGUAACUGACGCUGAGGCGCGAAAGCGUGGGGAGCAAACAGG
rnacentral:rRNA from 1 species